UAUUGGGCGUAAGGGCUCGCAGGCGGUUUCUUAAGUCUGAUGUGAAAGCCCCCGGCUCAACCGGGGAGGGUCAUUGGAAACUGGGAAACUUGAGUGCAGAAGAGGAGAGUGGAAUUCCACGUGUAGCGGUGAAAUGCGUAGAGAUGUGGAGGAACACCAGUGGCGAAGGCGACUCUCUGGUCUGUAACUGACGCUGAGGAGCGAAAGCGUGGGGAGCGAACAGGAUUAGAUACCCUGGUAGUCCACGCCGUAAACGAUGAGUGCUAAGUGUUAGGGGGUUUCCGCCCCUUAGUGCUGCAGCUAACGCAUUAAGCACUCCGCCUGGGGAGUACGGUCGCAAGACUGAAACUCAAAGGAAUUGACGGGGGCCCGCACAAGCGGUGGAGCAUGUGGUUUAAUUCGAAGCAACGCGAAGAACCUUACCAGGUCUUGACAUCCUCUGACAACCCUAGAGAUAGGGCUUUCCCUUCGGGGACAGAGUGACAGGUGGUGCAUGGUUGUCGUCAGCUCGUGUCGUGAGAUGUUGGGUUAAGUCCCGCAACGAGCGCAACCCUUGAUCUUAGUUGCCAGCAUUCAGUUGGGCACUCUAAGGUGACUGCCGGUGACAAACCGGAGGAAGGUGGGGAUGACGUCAAAUCAUCAUGCCCCUUAUGACCUGGGCUACACACGUGCUACAAUGGACAGAACAAAGGGCUGCGAGACCGCAAGGUUUAGCCAAUCCCACAAAUCUGUUCUCAGUUCGGAUCGCAGUCUGCAACUCGACUGCGUGAAGCUGGGAAUCGCUAGUAAUCGCGGGAUCAGCAUGCCGCGGUGAAUACGUUUCCCGGGCCCUUGUACACACCGCCCGUCACCACCACGAGAGUUUGCAACACCCGAAGUCGGUGGAGGUAGCCUUUAUGGAGC
rnacentral:rRNA from 1 species